rnacentral:rRNA from 1 species
UACGAAAGGUCCAAGCGUUACCCGGAAUUACUGGGCGUAAAGCGCGCGUAGGCGGUCUUGUAUGUCGAUUGUGAAAGCCCCGGGCUCAACCUGGGAACUGCAGUCGAAACUGCAAGACUUGAAUGUUGGAGAGGUUGGGGGAAUACCUAGUGGAGAAGUGAAAUUCGUAGAGAUUAGGUGGAACACCAGAGGCGAAGGCGCCUGACUGGCCAAACAUUGACGCCGAGGCGCGAAAGCGUGGGUAGCAAACAGG